rnacentral:lncRNA from 1 species
CUGUAGAGAAAAGAGUGGUGAUCACGGUGAUAUAAAAAUUGUAUUAAACGGAGGCCGGGAAGGGCCUCAUCGGAGGCAAAAACCGAGAAGGGGCGCGGCGGCGCCGCUUGCUUUCGGCCGGGAUUUUGGCUCCGAUUUGGCCACUGGGGAAAUCAGCGUGGAAAAACGAGUCGGGGCUAUGAAAUUUACCUCGAUCGACGGUCGAAAAU